rnacentral:misc_RNA from 1 species
CGUGGCCGGUCGAAACCUCAACCCGUCCAGGGGAACAUGUUUUAGGGCUGGGGGUUGAAAUUGUCUCCUUUCCCUUUUACUUUUUCCAAAAUCGUAAAAUGUAUUUUUCAGGGUUUUUUCUUGGGGUUUUCCUCAUUUUCCUGUCCUCCGCACCAGGAGGAUUUUCAGACGACAUCCUCGGCUGCAACGGUUUCGUUAAAAGCCAUGUAGAUAUUAAUUACUCACUGGUGGAAAUUAAGUUGUUUACAAAACAAGGUAGCCUUAAAGAUCAUACGGAUUGUGCACCCAACAACGGUUACUAUUUUUUACCAAUUUACGAUAAAGGAGAGUACGUAUUGAAAAUUUCUCCUCCCGACGGCUGGUAUUUCGAACCGUCUGAAGUGCCAGUGACAAUCGAUGGGGCCACUGAUCCUUGCAGUACUGGUAAAGACAUAAAUUUUACCUUUAAAGGUUUUGCUAUAAUUGGACAGGUUGUUAGCUGGGGGCAUAAAGUCGGCCCAGUUGGCGUUACAGUUGAGCUCUUCAGCAAUUCUUCUAAUUCUCCUACUUCAUUAAUUCAAACGACAACUACUAGAGAAGGUGGUGAAUUUAGAUUUUCACCCAUCACCUCUGGAAAAUAUAAAAUAAAAAUUUCACACCCAAGAUGGAAAGUGAAAGCAAAGGAAGUUGACAUUGAAGUAAAUAAUAGUAAUGGUUUAGUAAAAGCAAAUAGUUUAGCAAUCGCUGGUUAUGAUGUUUUGGGACGAGUGACGAGCGAUGGUCAGCCUAUCACAGGAGUCAGUUUUGUUCUCUUUUCCAAAGAAAAAAAUCUUUCCGUCGAUGGAUGUGAAACAUCCACCCUUCCUGGAUUCACGGGAGACGGCCUUUCCCUUGAAGGAUUGUCAUACGUUUGCCAUGUAUUGUCAAAUGACAAAGGGAUUUUUACUUUUCCACAACUCUCCCCUGGCUCCUAUGUCCUCGUUCCACAUUACAAAGGUUCGAAAAGCACAAAGUUCGACGUCCAUCCACGCACUUUGCCUUUUGCUUUGGAACAUGGCAGCGUUGAACUUCCUGUCACAUUUCAAGUCAAAGGCUUUACUGUAAGUGGAAGGGUUUUAUGGGGUCCUGACGGAAAGCCCAUGAGCGGGGCCAAGGUGUCACUAAACGGUAAAGUUGUUUUUCAAACUUCUGCAGAUGGCGUGUACAACUUGGAAAGCAUGAGGGCUGGCACUUAUAAAAUUAAUGUACAAGCGCCGAAUGUUGUUUUCGAGGAGAAGGAAAUCAAAGUUUCAUCUACAAUGUUGCCUGAUCUGUUUCCGAAAAGCUACCAGGUGUGUGGCAACCUGCAUUCUCCGACUAGUUCCGGCCCAUACAACGUAGACGUUGUAUCUGAAUCUGGUGUGAAAACAGCGAUUUCUACUGAUUCCAAGGGCAGCUAUUGUUUGUUUUUAACACCGGGGAAAUACACCUUUUCACCGGUGAUCGGACGUGCUCAAAUCAAUCACGGGCUCAUGUUUUCUCCAGCAUCUAGGGAAGUUGUUGUUUCUGAUAACGUCUUAAACAAUAUCAAUUUUUCUCAACUUAAAUGUACAGUAAAGGGGAAAAUAGUCUGCAUGUCUGUUUGCCCUCUUAUAACUAUUAACUUAAAGCCUAAAAGUGUAGGAGGAGCACUUCAAACUAUUGCCAAAGGUGGUGUUUAUGAGUUCACUGAUGUAAUGCCUGGUGAUUAUGAUGUUUAUAUUGAACCUGGGCUUGGAUGGUGUUGGGACAAAGAAUCUUUAUCCCUUAAUGUUUUCGAUGAGACUACUGUAGUGCCAACGUUCACACAGUCCGGUUUCACCGUGACUAUUAUAUCUUCUCAUAGCACAAAAGUUGUUUAUUAUAGUGAGAGUGAUUCAAAAGACAAACAGGAUUUGAAUGUAGGACCGGGAAGUACUCAUAUAUGUGUGCCGAAAGCUACGCCGUAUAUUUUCGAACCGGUCGGUUGCCACGGUUAUGAAGAACCGAGAGUCAAAUGGAUUACGGGAAGCGUAUCUCUUACGGCUAUCAACCAUGCCAAUACUUUUUACAUCGAGUCGACUGAUGUAAUAGACGACCUUGUUUUAGAAGUUUUCUCUGAAAACAAAUUGAUUAAUAAGGUUGUGCCGAAAGUGAGCACAAGAGGUAAAGACAGUGUAAAGUAUGAAACUACCCUGCAAUUAAAAGAAGAUGAAGUUGUUACGCUUGUCGCUAAAGCAGGGUUGUUUUUAUUCAACCCGCUUUCGUAUAAGCUCAAAGGAGGCGCGGAUUGCGUAAAUACAACUCAUCCCGUCUUUACGGCUGAAAAGGGACAAGUUAUUAAAGGAAAAAUCACGACAGGGAAGAAUAAAGGUUUAGGGGAUGUAGUUGUCCAAAUAACGGAUGAAUCUGGCGAAGUAAUCGCCACGCAAAAAUCGUCCGGAGAUGGAACAUACAUUUUCCCUCCGAUUAAAAUUGUGCCUAAUUUUAAGAUAAUUCCUGAAAAAGAAGGCUAUGUUUUAACAGCGCUUGAAAAACUAGGAGAUUUCAGUGCUCAUAAAUUAGCAGAAAUUAUUGUAAAAGUCAAAGAUGCAAAUACUAGUGAAUUUCUUCAAGGAGUUCUUUUAUCAUUGUCCGGUGGUGAAAGUUAUAGAAGAAACGCCCAGACGAAUGUCAACGGUACGAUGUCUUUCUUGUCGUUAAGCCCCGGCGAAUAUUUCCUCAGGCCUAUGAUGAAGGAAUACAAAUUCCAUCCGACAAGUAAAAUGAUUAAAGUUAACGAAGGCUCGACAGUAGAGAUUUCUUUAAGUGGGGAACGGGUCGCAUACAGCGGCAUAGGCGAGGUGACAUCGCUGAAUGGAGAAGGCGAAUCUGGAGUCGUCGUUGAAGCGAUUGGGCUUGGAAGUUGCAAUCUUUUACAAGAAGAAGCUACUUCAGGUGAUGUUGGUGUGUUCCGGAUCCGAGGAUUAAAACCAAAGUGCAAAUAUAAUGUAAGAGUGAAACAAGACGUUGAUGUAAACCACCAUAUUCACACAUCUAUGCCUGAUAAUAUCACAAUUGAGGUUGACAAUUCUGAUGUAUCAGGGAUUAGGUUAUAUGCAAUGAGACCUAGUACUAGGAUUGAUGUUGCUGUUUAUGUCGUUCCGGACAACCCUGAAGAUUUGAAGACUUUAAAAGUUCGCCUUAGUCGCGAGGAAUCACCAGACGCCGCGGUACAUGUUGCCAAACUGGCUGAUUUCAAGCCAAGCCCCAGUGGAUACAGCGUCGACAGCAUGUUGAUCACCAUGCCUCCCAUCCUAGCCGACGGAAGGGGCUACAUAUUACAACUGGAGUCUUCGCUUUCCCAGGCGACGCACGAAUACGUAAACAGGCCGAUACAUUUCAAAGCGGCGGGUUCUUUUAAGUUAUUCAGGCUGCCUUUUUCACCCAAGAUCAAAUCCAGAGAUGCAGAACUUUCUCAAUCAUCUUACCUCAUCCUUCCAUUGAUUCUCAUGAUCACUUUUGCAUAUUAUAACAAAGAUCUUUUAGUUUCUGUAAUUAAAUUAGUCCUGCAAAAAGUAAAAGUUACGACGACUUUGAAUAAACAACAUUCUGAUGAUUCUUCAUCAGAACCUUUUACCGAUUAUCCUAAAAAGAAGUCUAAAUCAAGAAAAACAUAAAUUUUUCCUGUAUUUUCUUUUCUUUUGGAGAGUUUAUUCAUUAUUUAAAGUUUUUUUGUGAAGUUUUAAAUUAUUGUUUUGUAAAUCUAGUCCUCAGGCAUUAGGUUGUAUAAAUUUCAAUUUUGUUUUCUUUAAUUUUUUUUUGUGUGUGAAAACAUGUCAACAGAAAUUACAACCAUCGAGAUUUACAUUCCUACAACCUCAUUCCUUGAACUUCAUUUAAAUAGAACAUUGUUUUUGUUGGAUCCUUUAUUGAUAUUUAUAGUUUACAAGUUGGUUACAUUCUUGAGGUGCGUCGGUGGAAGAUGCAAUAGUUACAGCUUUGAAACGGUGGAACAUAUUGGCUUUUUUCCCAAAAACAGUGUAGCCCGGGGGUUAUGGAUUGACCUCUAUAGUUGAGAACCUCAGUAAAUAAAUAAAUAAAGUUUGUUAUCCUAGUGACAUGACUCAUUAACUAUAACAUAACAUUUUUAUGUAUAUGAAUAAUAAAAUAUGUACAUAUUUGCUAAGAGAAACUUUGGCAAAAUA